rnacentral:lncRNA from 1 species
GAGGGGCGGGGACGAGGAAGAGGAUGUGGCUGGUGCCCUGGGUGGCCGCAGCCGCUGUCUUUCACGCCUUUCUCACUCCACACGGUGCCCCGACCCCAGGGUCCCGAAAGUCCCAGGCUGUUGGACGUGGUCUGGGUGGGGUGGGAGGGACGACGCUGGCAAAGGCGGGCUGAGAGGAUUUCUUUAUUUCGCGUUCAGACCCAACACACUCGGACACCUUGGGGCCCUGUGAGGGCUAAGUGUCCUCUGAGGCCGGCAGGAGUCUGGCCCCCGCUGCACCUGCGCUUGGUGGCUGGCAGGGGCGGGGUAGGGAGGUCACCCUCGAGGCCGGGGUCCCCAUGUGCUAGGGGAAGACCUGCCUUCCCAGCCAGUGUCCACAGGGCAGCAAUUCCACGCUCUGAGGCUCAGGGACCAAGGCAGGGCUGGGUGUGGGGCCCAGACUCCAAGCUCUGGGGGUUGGGGGACCAAGGCAGGGCUGGGCAUGGGGCUCAGGGCCUUGGAGGUUUUUCUCAGCUCUCAACAUCACAGCACAGGGCCCGUGAGUCACCCCAGUCCUCUGGGCCUGUGUACCCAAGCCGGAUGCAGGCCGGGGAGUGCACGUGGGGCUCCUCUGUGGCGCCAGUGUGAAGCUGCUCUCCGGGGCGGUCGCAGCCUCCAAACCCUGGUGCUACGAGUCCGUGCCUCAGGCCCAGGGACCACAGGCCGUCUGCUCAUGGCUGAAAAUGAGGCCAAGCAGCUCCCAAGUCUCGAAGACUCCACUGGUGUGGAGGCAGAGGGGCCCUUCCAGGGCAGGGCAGCCCUCGGGGCAGCAGCAGGGGCAAGGGCUCUGUCUCACGCACACGGGCACAGGCACGCAGGUGCCGGCCCUGCCGCUGGCUCCCAAGAGGCCGAUAGCCCGGUAGGGAGGUCACACACACACAGCUGAUCCCUGGAGGUAAAGAAACCUAGACGAGGAGAGUGGAGGCUGGGCCUGCGCAAGGAGGCGCCAAGGGGGGAGACCACUGCCCACAACAGGGUCAGUCCCGCGAGAGGGUCAGUUCCGCGCCUGCCGCCUGCCCGCCCAGCUGCAGGGUGCUCGCCAUUGCCACUGCUGGGGAGCAUGGUUUGGGCCGAGAAACCAGUGACUCCGGGAGGAAAUGCAGAAGGGCCGGGGUGCCAGCGCCAGUGCCCAUUAUGGGCAGGGCUGGGCCUCACGUCUGGGCCAGCGAGAGCUCCUCCAAGCCUCUCUUUCCCAGGCGGUACCUGGCGAGGUCCUUCCUGGUCACCAACCCGACAA